rnacentral:rRNA from 1 species
GCGACCUCAGGUCAGGCGGGGCUACCCGCUGAGUUU